rnacentral:rRNA from 1 species
UACGGAGGGGGCUAGCGUUGUUCGGAAUUACUGGGCGUAAAGCGCACGUAGGCGGCUUUGCAAGUCAGAGGUGAAAGCCCGGGGGCUCAACCCCGGAAUUGCCUUUGAGACUGCAUCGCUAGAAUUGUGGAGAGGUAAGUGGAAUUCCGGAGUGUAGAGGUGAAAAUUCGUAGAUAUUCGGAAGAACACCAGUGGCGAAGGCGACUUACUGGACACAUAUUGACGCUGAGGUGCGAAAGCGUGGGGAG